rnacentral:lncRNA from 1 species
UUGAAAUUUCUCCGCGUUUCCGUUUCAAUCGAUUAUGACCUUUGACUCUUUGUAUUACACAUACAAUCACUCAUAAGUAUUUCCUUAAAUUGCUAUAAAGACCACAACCUCCCUUUCACCCUCUUCUGUUUUCGAUAAACAACCCACCGGAGAUUUACGAAAGCCGUUUUCGCCUUGUUUCGGAGUCGCCGGAGAUACAAGAAGACGACUGGAAUAACCAUUUACGCAGCCCAGUUUCGUACCAGCCGGAGUUCGGAGCAUUCGCUGUCGCUUACAACGGAACGCCUCGUUACGAAAGACGACACCGCGCUAUCGGAGAAGACCCGUAACUCACCUGCGUAGACGUCGGAGAUCGAGGACGUCGUCGGAGUAAACCGAACCAGCCGGAGCCGUACGAAGGAUCGACCGGAGAUGUCACUCGUCUUGUUCGGAUAAUCGCUUACGCUCGUUCUCUUGGAUUUCCUCAAUCUUUGCUUCUACGUUAUCGCAACGCAACCAAUGAUGAGGAAGUCAAGAUUUGAAGAAAUGAAUAGGAUGGCCUAGAAACCCACUUUUGAAAUAAACUAUGUUUAAUGUUUGUUAUUUCCUUUUAUGACAAUGUAUGAAACUUUGCAAAUUUUAAUAAAUGAAAUUUAAUUAUAUUGUC